AGAGUUUGAUCGUGGCUCAUGACGAACGCUGGCGGCGUGCCUAACACAUGCAAGUCGAACGGACGAGGCCCCUUCGGGGACCGAGUUAGUGGCGGACGGGUGAGUAACGCGUGAGCAACCUGCCUUUCAGAGGGGGACAACAGUUGGAAACGACUGCUAAUACCGCAUGAUGCAGCGAGAUCGCAUGGUCUUGCUGUCAAAGAUUUAUCGCUGAAAGAUGGGCUCGCGUCUGAUUAGCUAGUUGGAGGGGUAACGGCCCACCAAGGCGACGAUCAGUAGCCGGACUGAGAGGUUGAACGGCCACAUUGGGACUGAGAUACGGCCCAGACUCCUACGGGAGGCAGCAGUGGGGAAUAUUGGGCAAUGGGGGAAACCCUGACCCAGCAACGCCGCGUGAAGGAAGAGGGCUUUCGGGUUGUAAACUUCUUUUACCAGGGACGAAGAACGUGACGGUACCUGGAGAAAAAGCCACGGCUAACUACGUGCCAGCAGCCGCGGUAAUACGUAGGUGGCAAGCGUUGUCCGGAUUUACUGGGUGUAAAGGGCGUGUAGGCGGAGCUGCAAGUCAGAUGUGAAAUCUGGGGGCUUAACCCUCAAACUGCAUUUGAAACUGUAGCCCUUGAGUAUCGGAGAGGCAGGCGGAAUUCCUAGUGUAGCGGUGAAAUGCGUAGAUAUUAGGAAGAACACCAGUGGCGAAGGCGGCCUGCUGGACGACAACUGACGCUGAGGCGCGAAAGCGUGGGGAGCAAACAGGAUUAGAUACCCUGGUAGUCCACGCUGUAAACGACGAAUACUAGGUGUGGGGGGACUGACCCCCUCCGUGCCGGAGUUAACACAAUAAGUAUUCCACCUGGGGAGUACGACCGCAAGGUUGAAACUCAAAGGAAUUGACGGGGGCCCGCACAAGCAGUGGAUUAUGUGGUUUAAUUCGACGCAACGCGAAGAACCUUACCGGGAUUUGACAUCCUACUAACGAAGCAGAGAUGCAUUAGGUGCCCUUCGGGGAAAGUAGAGACAGGUGGUGCAUGGUUGUCGUCAGCUCGUGUCGUGAGAUGUUGGGUUAAGUCCCGCAACGAGCGCAACCCCUAUUGUUAGUUGCUACGCAAGAGCACUCUAGCGAGACUGCCGUUGACAAAACGGAGGAAGGCGGGGACGACGUCAAAUCAUCAUGCCCCUUAUGUCCCGGGCUACACACGUAAUACAAUGGCGGUCAACAAAGGGAAGCAAAGCCGCGAGGCAGAGCAAACCCCCAAAAGCCGUCUCAGUUCGGAUUGCAGGCUGCAACUCGCCUGCAUGAAGCUGGAAUUGCUAGUAAUCGUGGAUCAGAAUGCCACGGUGAAUACGUUCCCGGGCCUUGUACACACCGCCCGUCACACCAUGAGAGUCGGGAACACCCGAAGUCCGUAGUCUAACCCGCAAGGGAGGGCGCGGCCGAAGGUGGGUCUGAUAAUUGGGGUGAAGUCGUAACAAGGUA
rnacentral:rRNA from 1 species